UAUUGAUUGUUGUUUGUCUUGAUAGCAUUACAGGCAAGUUGUUGACUCUAGUUUGUCAUCAUCCUGGUGUGGUGUACAGUGGCUCCUCCUUUUAGCGGAUGGGUCCAAACACCUCUGUUACUCAUCCGGUGGUCAUUGCUUCCAGCUCCUCGUGCCGCUAGCUGCACCCACUGGUCGUAGAUGACCUGAAGGGAUUCAUACUAGAACCUCUCUGGUGGGGGUGACAACAAUCGGUUGAUGUCCGCCAAGGUCGCCGGCUCUUGGUUGGCAUGGCCCAUCAUUUGCAUCAUGCAUGAGAGAGGUAUCAAUCCAGCGAAGUGGCAUGAAGAUUGGAAUAGGCGUGUGCUCUUCAUGGAUGUUGUUUCUGCAUUGGUAUGAGAGUAGCGAUGAGGAGCUCAUGGUACUACCCCGGCUCACCAAGGUCAUCAUCACUUGUGACAACUGGACAAAGCUGGCCAGCGGGGUGUAGUCAAGAAGGUUGUUGGCCUUCGAGGCUGGUAUUGGCUGGCUAGUUCCUGAAUCUGGUUUCUCACCAGGAAUAUCUAGAAGGCAAGGUAAACAAGACGAAAUUAAGCUACAAUCAAGUUCCAGCUGAAUAAGUUCGUCUUCAUCGAUGUCACUGUGGGCUACCUGUCGAUGGAGAAGCUGACCCAGUAUAACAUGUCAAUGAGUGUCAACUUACUGGUUUCCUUGCUCAAGAACUGGCAAAACGUGAGUCGUCUUCAACUUUCGUUCCCUGAAUUU